rnacentral:rRNA from 1 species
CCAAUAGCGUAUAUUAAAGUUGUUGCAGUUAAAAAGAGCGAAGUUGAAUUUCGGGGUUAGUAGGUUGUUCAUGCCUCUGGUAUGUACUGGUCUCACUGAUUCCUCCUUCCUGAUGAUCCGUAAUGCUAUUUAUUUGGUGUUGCGGGGAAUUUGGACUGUUACUUUGAAAAAAUUGGAGUGUUUAAAGCAAGCUAAAGCUUGAAUACAUUAGCAUGGAAUAAUGAAAUAGGACGUUCGAUCGUAUUUUGUUGGUUUCUAGGAUUGACGUAAUGAUUAAUAGGGAUAGUUGGGGGCAUUAGUAUUCAAUUGUCAGAGGUGAAAUUCUUGGAUUUAUUGAAGACUAACUACUGCGAAAGCAUUUGCCAAGGAUGUUUUCAUUAAUCAAGAACGAAAGUUAGGGGAUCGAAGACGAUCAGACACCGUCGUAGUCUUAACCAUAAACUAUGCCGACUAGGGAUCGGAUGAUGUUAAUUUUUUAAUGACUCAUUCGGCGCCUUACG